UGGGGGAUAGUUUAACGGUAGAACACUCGGCUCUGGACCGAGCAGUCCUGGUUCGAAUCCAGGUCCCCCAGCCA
rnacentral:tRNA from 1 species